rnacentral:rRNA from 1 species
GGCGGUAUUUUAGUCUAUUCAGAGGAAUCUGUCCUAUAAUUGAUAAUCCACGAUUUAAUUUACUUUUAGAAAAAAUUUAUAUAUCGUCGUAGCUUGAAUAUUUUAAAAGAAUUUUAAUGUUCAAAAUUUUUUUAUAAAAUUAAAUCAGAUCAAGGUGUAGUUUAUAUAAAAGAAGAGAUGGAUUACAUUAAAUUUAUUUAAAGAUUAAUUUUURUAAAAUUUUAUGAAUAUGGAUUUGAUAGUAAUUUUUUUAAAAUUUUAAAAAUGAUUUAAGCUCUAAAAUAU